rnacentral:rRNA from 1 species
GUGGGGAAUAUUGGACAAUGGGCGAAAGCCUGAUCCAGCCAUGCCGCGUGUGUGAAGAAGGUCUUCGGAUUGUAAAGCACUUUAAGUUGGGAGGAAGGGCAGUAAGUUAAUACCUUGCUGUUUUGACGUUACCGACAGAAUAAGCACCGGCUAACUUCGUGCCAGCAGCCGCGGUAAUACAAAGGGUGCAAGCGUUAAUCGGAAUUACUGGGCGUAAAGCGCGCGUAGGUGGUUUUGUAAGUUGGAGGUGAAAUCCCCGGGCUCAACCUGGGAACUGCCUCCAAAACUGCAUGACUAGAGUACGGUAGAGGGUAGUGGAAUUUCCUGUGUAGCGGUGAAAUGCGUAGAUAUAGGAAGGAACACCAGUGGCGAAGGCGACUACCUGGACUGAUACUGACACUGAGGUGCGAAAGCGUGGGGAGCAAACAGGAUUAGAAACCCGGGUAGUCC